rnacentral:rRNA from 1 species
UACGUAGGGUGCGAGCGUUAAUCGGAAUUACUGGGCGUAAAGCGUGCGCAGGCGGUGAUGUAAGACAGGUGUGAAAUCCCCGGGCUUAACCUGGGAACUGCAUUUGUGACUGCAUCGCUGGAGUACGGCAGAGGGGGAUGGAAUUCCGCGUGUAGCAGUGAAAUGCGUAGAUAUGCGGAGGAACACCGAUGGCGAAGGCAGCCCCCUGGGUCAAGACUGACGCUCAUGCACGAAAGCGUGGGGAGCAAACAGG